UCCGGGACUGGAUCGGUCUGUUGUUGUUGUGUGUGUAUUUAGGUCGCUUGAAGGGAUUGUGAACUGACGAUAUUACUUCCUGGUCUAACAACAAACACUUUAAUGUGUAGUUCAAGUGUAGUUAUUAUUAUAUAUAUUAUCAGGCGCAGAACGAGUAUGUGGGUUGACAAGUGUGAAGGAGUAUUCAGUGUUACAGCAUAAUAACGACACAAGUUUGUGUCAUUGGCGAACACAGCCUACACGAGUCGGGUACCAGUCGAUGGAUAACAGAUACCUGUGUUUGAGAAUUGCGGUAGCAUUCUGGAGGGAUAACCCUGUAUACGGGCAUGAGAGGACCAUAUUUACAGCAAGCAUACAAGAUGGUAUCUCCUGUGUUUGUUGACAUGGAUGUUUCUCUUACAAUUGUACUGUCGGCGUGCGUGUUCACUACACAUACACAAGGUUCCUCCACCCUGCUGCUGACAAGUUCUCCAUCAACAGCAUCACCAGGCCAGCCGUACACCUUGAUGUGUAGCAGUAGUGGUAGCGGUGGCAGGAGUAGAGCCUGGUACUGGAGGGAUGAUGUAAUCUUCCAUACACGUUACGUGUCAGACACACAAUGUACACUAGAUAUAUCCAACAAUGACAGAUAUAGGGAGUAUCUGUCAGGACGUGUCAAUGUCAGCUGUAGUUACAACCUGCACAAUGUGACUCUCAGGGUCAACACUUCCAUAGAUAAUGGAUCUGUCUGGCGGUGCGUGGAUAGUCAGGAUAGUCUGGAGAGCAACAGAUGGACGAUACACAUAAGUAACCUUAUGCCCUCAACAACAACGACUGCCGCCACUACAACUACUACAGCUGAUACAACUACUACCACAGCAACAGGUACAUCGCCGAUGUCCGAUGUCCCUUCAAGCACGGUUCUUCAAGGAGGGGAUUCCUCAGAUGUCGUCUCCGUCGCGGUAGGAGCAGCAGUGGGCGGAGCUGUUGUUGGCUGCGUCCUUACCGUCGUCGUCGUCGUCGUGUGGAUGAGGAGGAGACACAGAAAUGCAGAAGCCAGCACGAGCCCACCGAACAUUUACACGUGCCCGUCCCACUACGAGGACAUGGAGCACCAGUAUAGUCAGGUGGAGAGGCAGUACGUCAACAGUGUGGAGGGGAUGAAGACUGAUUCUCCACAUGCGGUGAAUGCAGAUACCCAACCACGGGAUGCCACCUACUACAACACAGUUGGUCAACAGCAGCAUCUUAAUGAAGAUGCAAAUAAGGGGGAGACAACUUACAACAACACUGCACGUGAUGAUGACAACUAAAGUCACAUCGGGACCACAGGUGAAUGUAGCAUGACAAUAUAUGUCAGCACCUAACCUGUCAAUAUGGCCCUUUGGCUAACGUUGUGACUCCAUUCUGUGCAAUAGCAGGAGGAUACACACAGGUAUUCCUGUGUAAAUGUAACUGACAAGACGAAGACAGAAUGUCAUAUAUGCCAACAAUGCCAUGAGAUACAUGUAAUGAUAUUAAACAACAUACACUGCAAAUCUAAUUAAAGUUGUGCUUGAAAGUUAUGUUCCUGGGGUACAAGUGAUCUCUGAAUAGAGAAUUUUAGAUGCGAACUAUUUUCAAUGUGUGUGCAUAAAUAUAUAAAUGGACUAUAAUUUGGUGUUGACCAACCGCGCAUAUGUAAUACAUAUAUUGAUACCAUACCUUUUGUAUAGAACACUAUAGUUCUGGCUAAAAUGUCUGUAUGUAAACUAUUUGCAACCCAUUCACGCCAAGGGAUGCUAAACUAUUAUCCUUUCUUUGUAAUGUGAUAUUACCACAAUGCUAGUAACUCAUACGGACACAAACUGUUCAUUGAGACAUCUAGCAUCAGUAGUUCGGAGUGUGGAUCCCAUUCUCUCUCUGCUUGGAUUCUAAUUUGCGUCUGGUGCUAGAAAACAGAAGGCGUAUUUCCAUACGUGUCGCGUUACGCCACAUUGUUUGUGAACGUUCUCUGGAAUGUACAUUACGACUGCACGGUAUUACCAGCAUACCGGUAAUAUUUCAAUUAUUUGUUCAACUUUAAUCCAUUCAACACCGUAGGAAAGACUUCCGCCCGUGUACCCCCUAAAUGUUAAUGGUGAGGAAAAAGAUAUAUAUGUAAUAAUAGGUAUUCAGGUAAUAUGGGUGGUGGUGGGUGGGGAUUGGGCGGAAGUCCUUCCAAGUGAUUGGCUACGGGUCCACUUAAAAAAUUGUCAAAGAGCAAUUUGAAAGUAUCGAUGUUUCGAGGAAAUCAUUAAAAUUGAAGAAACUAAUGAGUAAAAUCUACAGUUUUCAUAAAAGUUGUCAAACGUACAUCUACGUUUCUUACUAUUUCCAUCAUUCCGUGCGAUCAUGUCAUGCAAGUUAAAUGGCAUCUCGGCUUUCGUCGCCUCGAUCUUCAGGCUCCGACACAAUGUUUAAUGUGAAACAAAUUGCAUAAAGAAUAUUUGUCACAGGUCGCCACCUAGCACGAUACGUCCAAUACGUUCCACAAUUUAUGUACUUAUGGGGAUGUCCUGCUUAACACAUUCAGAAUAGCAUCAUUGUACCCAAAACUAGGACGGUAUCCAUUGCUGUAAUAUAAUUGGCUGCCUUACGUUACGUGCAUGAUCUUUACCAAUCACGAACCUUAUGCCAGCCUGUGGCGAAAAAGCGUCAUUUUGAACCAUUUAUUAUCCAAUAAAAUAACUGCGAAAAUACUCCUGGUAAGGUUAUUGUGAUAUUAUUGAUGAUUAGAGCAUUCGAACGAUACCCGCCAUCAAAUGAAUCUUGUCGUGUGUUAUUCAUAUGGAGCUUAGAAAAUGGAGGCAUUACCCAAUGUUGAGUCGUGUUACCAGGCGAAAAGCCACGGCUAUCGGGAAAUAGGCCACCACACAUAUUUUUUUUAUUAAUUAAUCUUCAGUUAAUAAUUUGCUGAUUACGUAAAAAUGAAAAUAUAUAAUAAACAGGUUAGAGGAUAUUAUGACAUUUUACAAAUGUAUUAAAGUAGCGGGAGUUUUCGUCUCCUUCCUGGUUUAACUGGACAUUAUGAGUGUGUAAACCUUUUUAUUUAUUAGAAAUAAACUUGUUUAAGUUGAAGUUGUAUUAUUUGAACAAUACCGGUAAGUUAAUAUUAACUUUUGUAUUUAUCAACGGUGUAUUCCCAGAGUGGCCCCUCUGUCUCUAACGUAACAACCAAAUUCAGGGGCCACUACGGGACAACUCGUUUAAGAAGGUGUGAAUGUUGUCAAAACAAAGAGAUAAGCUGCUACUGGGAGUAGAAGGUAGCUGCUGAUGCUGUUAAGAAGGUGUGAAUGUUGUCUAAACAAAGAGGUAAUCUGCUACUGGGAGUAGAAGGUGGAGGCUGAUGCUGUUAUGAAGGUGUGAAUGUUGUCUAAACAAAGAGCUAAUCUGCUACUGGGAGUAGAAGGUGGUAACUUCAGAGUACUAAGAGUCUAGUUACCAUUAAUGGUUGGGGUAAUAAUGUAUCUUUCAUUUGAAUGUUGUUAACUGCUGGCCUGAGGAGGAAGCCUGUGUAAUAAUCUAUCUUCAAUUUUGUGUGUGUGUGUUUAUCCUUUUCUUGUAUUUUGCUAUAAGUAGACUUAUGGGUGAUUGUUGGUCAUCAGGCAUGGCUCGGAAGGGAGAGAUUGUUCCUGGUAGACAAAAUGGACUUGAUAUUUUGAUGGAGGGUUUCAGGUAUAACAAGAAGAAGGAAAACAAGAAUGGCACAGUAGCGUGGCGUUGUCGUCAGACAGGUUGUGGGAAGGGCCACUCCGGGAAUAAAUGUUAUUGUUAAUGCAAGACACAUAUGUUUCAUUUUUUCUGUGCACAUUUCCCUCCUGCAGAUAUUUUCACAUAUUUUUCAUUUGCAUAUUUCAUGCAUUAUAAAUGUCUUCCUAAUGUGUACAGUCUCCGUAGCACAGUGCAGCUCUUACUUCAUCCUAGUAUCAGCUAUUACCUCCCUUGUUAGUAACCCAGCCAGCUAGGGUUCAAUCCCAGCUUUCUAAUAAAAACAUUGCAGAUUUGUUAUGUUUCAUAUCCCAUAGAAACACUUUCCCGUCAUGUGACCAUAAAAGCACAUGUGGUACUGGGACCCCACGCUUCAGUGUGGUAGCAGCCUCCAUAGCGUCAAGAGGUCUCCUCUGACUGUUAAUAUCAAUGUAGCACACAGAAACACAAAUGUAAGUCUUGCAUCUUUAUUAUGUCACAGUUACUAUUCUGUUUUGUAUAAAUAUAAUGUUUAAUAGUCUUCUUUGAAGUUCAUGGCCUCAUAAUGUUAUUGUUACAUGCAAUAUUUUCUUAAAGUGUUCAAAUAAUCUUCAAAGGUUUUCAAAGUUUUAAACAUGAAUUUAGAUGAUAUUUUGUCAAUGCAUUGUAUUUUAUAGUCAAAUUAUAUUACAAAUUGUUUCUGUUUAUUCUAGUUUUCCAAACCUCAUCCACUCAUCCACUCGUCUAUAUCCUUUCACACUAUGGCUAACGACCAACGUCCAACGUGUAUUUUACAUUUGUCACCGUACAUCAACGCAUAACGUACCAUUGUUUACCAUCAAAGAAUAAAACCCUGUGGAUGCGA